CUCCCACCCUUGUGUAUUAUUACUUUGUUGCUUUGGCGAGCUGCCUUUGGGCCUUGUAUGCUCGCCAGAGAAUACCAAAACUCUUUUUAUUAAUGUCGUCUGAGUACUAUAUAAUAGUUAAAACUUUCAACAACGGAUCUCUUGGUUCUGGCAUCGAUGAAGAACGCAGCGAAAUGCGAUAAGUAAUGUGAAUUGCAGAAUUCAGUGAAUCAUCGAAUCUUUGAACGCACAUUGCGCCCCUUGGUAUUCCGGGGGGCAUGCCUGUUCGAGCGUCAUUUCAACCCUCAAGCUUAGCUUGGUAUUGAGUCUAUGUCAGUAAUGGCAGGCUCUAAAAUCAGUGGCGGCGCCGCUGGGUCCUGAACGUAGUAAUAUCUCUCGUUACAGGUUCUCGGUGUGCUUCUGCCAAAACCCAAAUUUUUCUAUGGUUGACCUCGGAUCAGGUAGGGAUACCCGCUGAACUUAAGCAUAUCAA
rnacentral:rRNA from 1 species